UUUGGGAGUUCAAGUGCAAGUUUUUACUUUCUGUCUUUUUUUUUUUUUGCCUUCUCGCGGUUGGAAAAUGGUUUAGUUUGAUUUAAUUCUGCUUAUGUUGUGAAGUGAAUAGGUGGUCGGCCGUUACGUUUGGGGAGGCUGGUCUUUUUGAAUUUUCUUACUUGCUCGCAUUGUGUACUAUUUAUGCCCGGCACUUCGAAAGUGAACCUUUCUGGAUGUAUGUGUUUCUUUGGAUUAGUUGGAAAUAGAGGCGAAUGAGCUUUAAUUUUGCUUUUUUGGGUUUUCAAAACUGAAUUGGCAUAUCCAAGCACUGUUUUUCGUGCUUUACCUCGUGGCUCACCAGUGAUUUAGGUUUGCCUCUAGGCUAUUCAGUUAGAUCCGAAGUAGCUUUUUGUCUUCAUGGUUUCUGAUUGAAGCCUGAUACUGUAUAGAUACAUUGAUUAUAUUGACCAUCUCAGUGUGAUGCGGUGCGCUUCUUUUGUAUGAUGGUUGUUCCGUGAAUGAUGAUUGUUUUUAUGUCUUCAAAUUAGCAGGCCAGAGGAUUGGCACCAGACUCCUGACCCGAAAAGGCACUUUGUGCAUUUCUUUGGAACACAAGAGAUUUUGCAAUUGGAUAUAAUAGAAGAGGACUUGAAGAGACGGAGCUGAAGAAUUCAAAAGAUAAAUCUGAUGGUUCUGAUUUACUACCUUUGUUGGACUGCCACAAAUGCUUUGAAGUCGUAGCUGCAGCAGUUAAGGAUGCUAUAUCAGAUUCAGUUGUAGGUCUAAAAAACCCCGAGGUAGAGCUCCCUUCCCCCUCCCUCUCUCUCUCUCUCUCUUUCAUGUUUAUCUGACAUC